GCCAGGCAAGAUGUUGGCAUAGCUGAGCAUGUGUCUCUCAGCCAUGCCACAUGAGGCCACGCA
rnacentral:pre_miRNA from 1 species